GUGUAGACAAAGGGGGGACUCCACAACACAAAGCUGCAUGUGUUCUUCCAAACUUUAUUUCUUCUCCUCCAAGACGCACGGCCACACGCACGGAGCAGAGCACCUUCAAUAAAAGUUACCGCUCUUGUUGGUGCGUCAGCGCACAAAGUUGAGCACAAAGCAGCGGAGGUAGAGCGACGUAGACAGACAGUGGCAGCCAGGAGAGAGAGAGAGCGCGAGAGAGAGAGCGGUCCUCUUUUCCUUUGUCUGAUGCUCUGUCUCAGGCUUUUUGGACACUACUUGAACGGACUUCAUCAUGACCAUCACACACUGGAUCCCUAAAGCCAGACUGACAGAGAAAUAUUUUCCAAAUUUUGUGGAGAAGGAUGGAGGAACUCCAGAGUCAUCUGUGAAGAAGCUUUAAGGAUUAAGAGACAGAACACUUUUAUUUUGGAAACGAUGAAGAACUCCUAAGGAUUUAAACCUGAGCAGAAGCAGCUUUGCCUGGAGGGAUGCAUUCAAGGCAUACUCGGAAAUGUAAAAACCUGGAUAUACUUUGGAGAUUAUAAGAAUGUGAUGGUUUCCUUCUGCACUUUGGCUUAAACUCCCCAGGAUGGCAGAAUAUUGCAAUUUGAGCCUUCAUAAUAGGUAGAUCACAUAGCGUCUUGGAGCUUUGAAUCCACAUAUUGACAUUGGGAAGCAAUGAGGAUGGUAAGCAGGGGGAGUUCCUGUGAUUGCAAAAAAAAAAAAAUUGAGUUGUGUUUUUUCUUAUUUUAAUUAAGCCAUUUACUGUACAUAUAUUUACUUUUUUCUUGUAAGUAUCGAGGACCAUAUAUUCAGAUAAUGACCAUCUACAUAAAUGUAUGACUUGUGGAUUUGCUGUAAAAUUAAGGAAAAUGUAGUAAUGAAACUUGGAUGCUUGUAUAGCAAUAUAGACUUCGGCACUGAAAAUGACUCAACACACAGCCAUUACUGUCUAAAUAGCUGGCAACACAAGUGAGUAAAAGAUAAUUACAGUCAAGCAUGGCGUGGGGCUGGGAGAGUGCGGUUUAUUGAGACAAACAUUCCAACAUUUACUGCAACAUUGUGAAGCAAAGAACGAUCCCUUCCAUUGGGAAACUGUGCCCAAACACACCUCCAAGAUGACAAGCACCUUGCUGAGGAAGCUGAAGAUGAAGGUGAAGGUAUGGCCAAGUAUGUCUCCAGACAUACUUCUUACAUAAAUCAGCACCUGCGGGGCAUCCUCAAGCACAAGGUGGAAGAGUGCAAAUGCUCUGUAAUGCCAUCAUGGAGGAGUGAAAGAGGAUUCCAGUUAUAACCUGUGCAGCUCUGGUGGAUUCCAUGGCCAAGAUGAUGAAGGCAGUGCUAGAUAAUAAUGGUGCUCACACUAAAUAGUCACAUUUUUGACACACUUUGGAGAUGUUCAUUGUAAGGUGUAUUCACAUGUGUUGCCAGCUAUUUAGAUAAUAAUGGCUGCAAGGACAGUCACUACUCUAAAGUACAUUCAAGUUCAAUUACUAUUGUAUUGUCCAUUGAGAAGAUAUAUUAAAAUGGUGACUGAAAUGUGAGGGGUGUACUCACUUUUGUGCAAUUCUGUAAGCUAUCAAAUAAAGAGCUAUAAAAUGAAUGAGUCCUUUUCUGUCUGUGAUAAUUUACAAAAGUUAAAGAGCAAAUAUGAAAAGCUGCCAUAGUGCAAUUAUUAUAGAUCAGGGGUCGGGAACCGUUUUGGCUAAGAGAGCCAUGAAAGCCACAUAUUUUAAUAUCAUAGUAUAUCACAUU